AAUCUGGCAAAACUCCAGUUUUGCUUAUUUGAGUGCGCCGAGUCCAUUUCUGCAUCCAUUUCGCGCAGAAACGAUUCCGACUCAGUCCGACACUCUCCAGAUGUGUCGACCAGUCACUAACACUGAAGCCAAUUCUAUCCAAAGCUCAGAAAUACUACAUGUAAACUCAGUUGGGUCGCACCCACGAAUGCCAUUCCGAAAUGAGGUUUUAGUGCGAUGAGAUCGCAGUUUCUGUUUGGACGGUUCUUGAGCUCGAUUCAGGUAGGGUGGGUCCGUUUGGACAGCCCGUGUGAGAUUGGGUUAGUGGUAGUUAGUGAUG
rnacentral:lncRNA from 1 species